UGAUCCAGCUGUAAUCUACUCAGGAGUGAGAAAUGACGACAUCAAUUAUGAACAAAUCGUCAUCACAGACAAGAAAGAAAAAUCAAAGGCGAGAGAGUGCAAUCCAGCUACAAUCUACUCAGAAUUGAGAGCAGGCGACGUCUGCCAUGGACCGAAAACCACCAGAUCAAAGAGGCCCAAAGAGCCAGACACCAUCUACUCUUUACUGAAGUAGUCCACCAGUCCAACCACUGACGUCCAGCUGCUGGCCUCUAACUGGUCCUCCCAGCACCUCAGACCAGAGGACAUCUAUAGAUUUUCACUGAGAUAAUUCAAAAAUAACAUCCUAUUUUAACUUGCUUUAAAUGUUUUUUUUUAUUGCAAAUGAGAAUAUAAAUAUGUUAAUAUGAUUCAUAACUCUAUUAUUAAUAUCUUUAUUCAUGUUUGUUGGUUCCUGCAGUGGGAAAUUAUUUUCAGCAUUAAUAAACUUCUCUUCU